rnacentral:rRNA from 1 species
GUAGGAGGCGAGCGUUGUCCGGAGUUACUGGGCGUAAAGGGUGCGCAGGCGGCCCGCCGCGUGGGGGGUGAAAUCUCCUCGCUCAACGAGGAGGGGGCUUCCCAGACGGGCGGGCUUGAGGGGCGGAGAGGGGCGCGGAAUUCCGGGUGGAGCGGUGAAAUGCGUAGAGAUCCGGAAGAACACCGACGGCGAAGGCAGCGCCCUGGACGCCAUCUGACGCUCGGGCACGAAAGCGCGGGGAGCGAACAGGAUUAGAUACCCUGGUAGUCCGCGCCGUAAACGAUGUCCACCGGGUGCCGGGGGUAUCGACCCCCUCGGUGCCGCAGCCAACGUGGUGAGUGGACCGCCUGGGGAGUACGGCCGCAAGGUUA